rnacentral:lncRNA from 1 species
GGCAGAGGGGGAAGCAGGCUCCAUGCAAGGAGCCCGAUGUGGGACUCGAUCCCAGGACUCUGGGAUCAUGACCUGAACUGAGGGUAGACACUUAGCCAACUGAGCUACCCAGAUGCCCCUAAUUUGAAGAGUUCUAACACAUACAUAAAAUGUUCUUUCCCUGAAUAGCAUCUAUAUCCUAUAGUGUCUAUUACCUCCAUGUUGAUUUUUUUUCUCUUUUGCUUAAAUGUGUCAGACAUUUUUCUCAGAUGUCUGGCAACUCCUGGUUCCUUGUUCAUUGUUUAUGAUUAAAACUGGAGGCUAUGAGGGAUGCCUGGAUGGCUCAGUGGUUGAGCAUCUAUCUUCAACUCAGGUCGUGAUCCCGAGGUCCUGGGGUAGAAUCCUGCAUCAGACUCCUAGCAGGGAGCCUGCUUUCCCCUCUGCCUAUGUCUCUGCCUCUUUCUCUGUGUCCCUCAUGACUAAAUAAAUAAAAAAGGGGUAAGAAUCUUUAAAAAACAAAACAACUGGGGACUAAGAAAACUUAAUGGGAGCUCCACAGUGGGUGAUGAUGUGAGCCAUUUGCUGGGGGUCAGAUUUUCCAGGAAAAAGCCCUCCAAUCUCCUGCCUAGAGGGAGGGGUGUGGCUGCCAUCACCACCGGGCCCUGAGCUGGGGUUGGGGAAGUAGGGGGCAUCUUUGCAUUUAGCAUUUUCUAUGCAUUCAGUUACUUAACUGCCUGUUUUUGCUAUGCCAUCCUGUCUUAUUCCCUUAAGUAUAUCUUUAUUACUUAUUAGCUUAGACUAGUAUCUAUUUACUCUUCUGCUGGGAAAGAUGAGAAAGUCAGCAUAUUUGUAUUCUCUUCCACCACUUCUGAAGCCAGUUUUUAAAAUUAUUUCUAAAUCUGUGUCCUGGAGCCGUAAAUCCUGCAGUUGUUUUUGUCUCUGCUGUACAUUUAAAUGCAUUCAGUACAAAACCACUGACUUUGUUGCUAGCGUAGUCACUAGUUUUUCUAUUCAUCUUUGGCUGAAAAUUAUCUUCUAUGACAGUGCUUCUCCAACUUUUAUGUUCAUAAGAUUCACCUGGGGAUCAUGUGAAACUGCUGAUUCUGGUUAAGUAGAUCUAGGACGGGGCUUGAAAGUCUGCAAGUCUGACUGGCAUCUCCAGGUGAGGCUGAUGCUGUAGAUGACAGAGCAAGUAGUGAGAUUCUAGCAGGUUAUAUACCUGCUAUAUAUACUAUAUAUAUAUAUAUAUAUAUAUGCUAUAUAUAUGCUAUAUGCUAUAUAUAUACACACACAUACUGGUUUAAUAUAUAAUAUAUAACAAUAAUAUAUUAUAUUAAUAUAAUUAAUAUAUAU